GAUGAACGCUGGCGGCGUGCCUAAUACAUGCAAGUCGAGCGAACAGACGAGGAGCUUGCUCCUCUGACGUUAGCGGCGGACGGGUGAGUAACACGUGGAUAACCUACCUAUAAGACUGGGAUAACUUCGGGAAACCGGAGCUAAUACCGGAUAAUAUAUUGAACCGCAUGGUUCAAUAGUGAAAGACGGUUUUGCUGUCACUUAUAGAUGGAUCCGCGCCGCAUUAGCUAGUUGGUAAGGUAACGGCUUACCAAGGCGACGAUGCGUAGCCGACCUGAGGGGGUGAUCGGCCACACUGGAACUGAGACACGGUCCAGACUCCUACGGGAGGCAGCAGUAGGGAAUCUUCCGCAAUGGGCGAAAGCCUGACGGAGCAACGCCGCGUGAGUGAUGAAGGUCUUCGGAUCGUAAAACUCUGUUAUUAGGGAGGAACAAAUGUGUAAGUAACUAUGCACGUCUUGACGGUACCUAAUCAGAAAGCCACGGCUAACUACGUG
rnacentral:rRNA from 1 species